rnacentral:rRNA from 1 species
GACGAACGCUGGCGGCGUGCCUAACACAUGCAAGUCGAACGAAGUAUAUUUUCGGAUAUGCUUAGUGGCGGACGGGUGAGUAACGCGUGAACAAUCUGCCCUAUACAAAGGAAUAGCCUCGGGAAACCGGAAUUAAAACCGUAUAACACUUUUGAGUCGCAUGACAUAGAAGUCAAAUUGAUUAAGAGGUAUAGGAUGAGUUCGCGUCUGAUUAGCUAGUUGGUGAGGUAAGGGCUCACCAAGGCGACGAUCAGUAGCCGGCCUGAGAGGGUGAACGGCCACACUGGAACUGAGACACGGUCCAGACUCCUACGGGAGGCAGCAGUGGGGAAUAUUGCACAAUGGGCGAAAGCCUGAUGCAGCGACGCCGCGUGAGUGAAGAAGGUCUUCGGAUCGUAAAACUCUGUCCUUGGGGAAGAAAAUGACGGUACCCAAGGAGGAAGUCCCGGCUAACUACGUGCCAGCAGCCGCGGUAACAC